rnacentral:rRNA from 1 species
UCGGGAAUCUUGCACACUGGGCGAAAGCCUGAUGCAGCAACGCCGUGUGAGCGAGGAAGGUCUUCGGAUCGUAAAGCUCUGUUGUUGGGGACGAAGGGCGAAGGGUUAAUAGCCCCUAGCCUGACGGUACCCUUCGAGGAAGCCCCGGCUAACUACGUGCCAGCAGCCGCGGAAAUACGUAGGGGGCAAGCGUUGUCGGGAAUUAUUGGGCGUAAAGAGCGUGUAGGCGGCUUGGUAAGUCUGUCGUGAAACGCUGGCGCUCAACCCUGGACGUGCGAUUGAUACUGCUAGGCUAGAGGAUGGUAGAGGCGAGUGGAAUUCCCGGUGUAGCGGUGAAAUGCGCAGAUAUCGGGAGGAACACCAGUAGCGAAGGCGGCUCGCUGGGCCAUUCCUGACGCUGAGACGCGAAAGCGUGGGGAGCAAACAGGAUUAGAUACCCCUGUAGUCC